AGACCGGCUUACUGGUCGUGCUAUUGUACGUACUGGUAUAAUCGGUUUCUCCUUUCUGACGAACUAUAAUGCCAUUAACUUGGUGUUUUAGGGAAUCAGGACUGUUACUUUGAAAAAAUUAGAGUGUUUAAAGCAGGCUCGCGCUUGAAUACAUUAGCAUGGAAUAACGGAAUAGGACGUUUGAUUCUAUUUUGUUGGUUUCUAGGAUCGACGUAAUGAUUAAUAGGGAUAGUUGGGC
rnacentral:rRNA from 1 species